rnacentral:misc_RNA from 1 species
AAGACUAUAGACCUGCGGAGUACCUGCGGAAGGAUCAUUAUAGAGUUUUCUAAACUCCCAACCCAUGUGAACUUACCUUUUGUUGCCUCGGCAGAAGUUAUAGGUCUUCUUAUAGCUGCUGCCGGUGGACCAUUAAACUCUUGUUAUUUUAUGUAAUCUGAGCGUCUUAUUUUAAUAAGUCAAAACUUUCAACAACGGAUCUCU